rnacentral:lncRNA from 1 species
UCAACCUCCCACGUGGCUGAGACUAUAGGUGCUUGCCACUAUGCCCAACUAAUAUUUGGAAUUUUCCUAUACGUGGAUUCCAGAGGGGUGACAGCGAAACGUGAGAAAUGCCAGCUGAGGCACAUGCCUUGGGAGCUAAGUGGUUGCUGCACUUGACCACUGUGAAGACUGGUGUGGGAAGGGUUGUUUUGGAUGCACUUGAGCAGGGGUCCCCAACCCCUGAGCCAUGGAGCCGUAAGGAGCCACACAGCAGGAGGUGAGUAGGACCAUCCAGUUGCAGAAAAACAAGCUUAACACGCCCACUGAUUCUACAUUAUGGCCCUACCUCCCGGCAGCCUCUCCAGGCCCAGAACUUUCUCCAGUCAGCCUCCACAGACCAAGCUCAUGACUCACAAUGGCCUAUUUAGGCCCAUACCCUACCUCACGGCAGUCUCUGCAGAUGAGGCUACUGCCUCACAACAGCCUCCACAGGCACAGCUCCACCGUUACAAUGGCCUCUUUAGACCCAGCUCCUGCCUCCCAGCCUUCUCUCCAGGCCCUGAGCUUUCUCAAGUCGACCUCACCAGGCCCAGCUCAUGCUUCUUGGCAGCCUCUCCAGGCCCAGCUCCUGCAUCUUGGCAGCCUCUCCAGGCCCAGCCUCUGCCUCCUGUCAGCCUCUACAGUCCCAACAUCUGCCUCACAGCAGAUUCUUCAGGCCCAGUAUCUGCCUCACUGUGGACCACCCAAGCCAAGCUCCCAACCUUUCAGCAGCUUCUACACACCCAGCUCCUGCCACC